CGGAGGAGAGAAAUCGGUUUUUCGUGCCAGUUUCCCGCCAAUUCACAAUUCAAAUCACAAAUUCGCAGCUUUAAUGGUGAAGUGAAUUGCGAUAACGCAGUCCUCGGUCCAGAAAGUUCCGCCACGUGACCCCACGAUUUGAAGCAAAGACACAUAAAACAAACGUGGCCGCAUUCGUGGGAAGGCGCAACGGCCAUAUUGGAAUGGCGGCCGAAUGGGAUCAGACAUCCGAGACGUAGCAAUGGCGGCGACACCAAUGAAAAUGGCGAUUGCCUAACGAGCGUAGCUGGAUCGCAUCCAGAUACACAACCGUCGAAGUUGCCGUAGUUUAAACGAAACCGGAUCGCUUUCGAAGCUCCGCUGGAUAAAAGACGUCAUUGGCUGGCCGGACGCGAAUGCGGUGACACCACUGCCAGGCCUUCACCCGUACCGGCAGCGAUUCCAGGAGCCGUUAGACAGCAAGGAAGCAAGAAACUGAGCGUCGUCAGAUUACUCAUAUAAUUUAUAUACCAUAUAGUCUAAGCGUUCACGGGGAAAAACAGAAAUCUUGGACCUGAUGAAACUUUCAAGGCAGUAAC